UCGGAUUUUAGUUGAACCGAAUUCAGCCAGGCAUAUGAGGCGACCAUUUUGCAACGAAAAAAGAAACUCAGUUGUAAAUGUUUAUUUUUCGUUAACUUUUCAACAUACAUAAUCAUGGAUAUAAGUGCCAUAAACGUUGCGAACGCUGUAGACAUUACUGUGUUUUGGACGUUAAACUUAAUGUGUUCAAUAAGACUUGGAGUAGGUUAAUAUUUAUCGGGAGCACUUCGUAAACGCUAUAAAUAAUUUGAUAUAUGUCAAGGUCUACUAGCUAUUUUUAUACUGCUGAUUUUGGAAACAUUUAUUGUAAUAAUUCGGAACUCGACGGUGGAUAUCUAAUAACUAACUGGCUUAAGGUACGGACGAUAUACGGAUUCAAAUUGUGUCGCCAGAAUCUCGGCGCUCUGUUAUAUAUUUAAUAGCAAGUGUAUUUAUGGAAGAUAAAUAGUGUGGUUUUAAAACAUUUAUACACUUGUUGAUACGUUUAAAAAACACAAAGCAUAUUCGGACAUCUGAUGAUCCUGCUAUUGCCAGUUACAUAUAUUUUGGAAGCAUCCAUGGCACGACCUGUACCUCCGAGGAACAUACUGUGGAUGCUGUAUGUGUGCUUUGUAAUGUACUGUGCUUUGAUUUUGACAUAUCUACGUAGUUUGGUGAUGAACUGUUUAAGUCAAGCGCAAGUUGGAUUCAUGCGUACCGGUGUCGAAGGGACAUUUAAGUGGUGUUACUAUGGAAACCACUUUGGUCAUGCAUACGUUGGAUUUGGGAAUGGACAAUUUAAACUCCGCGCUUCCAUAUCGCAUAUACUACUGCACACAAAAAGAGCUUCUACUUGUACAGGUAGAAACGAUGACUGGGGAGGAUUACAUCGAACGGAUGGAAGAAGAUAUCACCAGACAAUUGAGACUGUCCUGCAGGAAAACGAAGUAAUGAGACAUCGGAUCGUGUGCACGAUAUGUAAUACAAGAGACAGGCGUGUGGUGUUCAUUCCAUGCGGACAUUUGCUUACCUGUGAAGUGUGCGGGCAAGAGACAGACACCUGUCCAGCAUGUGGACUGGAAGUUAUCUCGCAUCUCAUUGUGAACCAGUGACAAAUAGAAAAAUCAUUUUAGUUGUUUAACGACUAAGUGCUGUACAAUUUAUAAAAUAGUUCAAGAUUAACAUAAAAAUCAAAAGCGGUAUUAAUGACUGUACAAUUUGUUAAAUCAUGCUAGAGAUACUAUUACAAUAAAAUAUAGCCAUACUG